AACCGGGAUGAAUAAUCCGGGUUGCGGACAGUGUCUGGUGGGUAGUUUGACUGGGGCGGUCUCCUCCUAAAGAGUAACGGAGGAGCACGAAGGUUAGCUAAUCCUGGUCGGACAUCAGGAGGUUAGUGCAAAGGCAUAAGCUAGCUUGACUGCGAGAGUGACGGCUCGAGCAGGUGCGAAAGCAGGUCUUAGUGAUCCGGUGGUUCUGAAUGGAAGGGCCAUCGCUCAACGGAUAAAAGGUACUCCGGGGAUAACAGGCUGAUACCGCCCAAGAGUUCAUAUCGACGGCGGUGUUUGGCACCUCGAUGUC
rnacentral:rRNA from 1 species